GAUGAUUUUAGAUUAUGUGUAUGUUUAAACAAAAAGUGCAGUGUGAUCGAUGUGAAUCUAAAAUUAAUCAACGCCCUUGACCUAUUACGCAUGGCGUGGCGCGGCGUAGCGGACAAAAAUAUUAUGUGGCCUGUCGCCGACUUCGCUUAAACAGUUAUAAAAUACACGAUGCAGUCGCACACAUUUGCGACUAGACCACAAGGACAUCUUUUCUAGAAUUCUCUAGAAGAACACGCAUAUUGACCUAUCUCAAUCAGUUACAAUGAUUUGCAAUGUGAUGAAUUAAUGGUUUGUGCAUUCGUGGAUCAUGCUGUGCGUGUGAAAUUAAUUUCUAUCGACUUCCAACAUCCGCACUACACAUUUUAUUAAUAAGUUAAAUUUUGUACGCUUCUGCUUUUCUUCCAUGCUCAUAUUUCUUCAGUUUGAGCUUUUAUUGAGUGUGUGCGUGAAAAUAAACAAAAAAGACAAAAAUGGAAAGAUGAAAGAAUAACGAUAGCCGAUGUCGAUGAACACCUGACGUACUCUGAUGGACGUGAGAUGUUAGACGUUGAAGAACAGAAGAACAGAUACCCCUAGGUGUUCGUCUACGUCUACGAAUAGUAAUAGAAAUGGAUGUGAAGCAGAAGAUGCUACUUAACAACGUCUGGCUUGCUAAAUACUAUUAUAUUUUAAAUUUUAUGUUUUUGCAGACACAUGGACGACGUAGGCUUCAACCAUCAAUCAAAAAUUUAAUUUUUGAGUCUUUUAAUUUAAAUUUCAUUUUUAAUAUGAUAAGAAAGUUUAUUUUAUGAAUGAUUCAAAUUUAAAACUGAGUGAGAUGCAAUGAGGAAGGGUUGCUAUGCUUAAAGACACUAACCUACCCUUUUUUCAACCCGCAGGUAGAAUAAAGAUAAUAUUUUAAAUGUUGUGUAAUGUUGUAUCGCAUGACAUCUGAAACGUGACUCGUUUCUUCUUUCUCCCGACCAAGAGAAUCUUUUAUAAGAUAAAAACGAAAGCAUAAAAACGAGCAUCAUGAAUCAAUGAGGAAGAAAUGGGACGAGCGCACAAAAAACGGUACCGUUAACAAACCACCCUCCAAAGCUGUGGUUCAUACGGGGUUCAUUCGCCUUAUGGUCUUCCGCAUUCUUUUUUUAAACCAAAACUUUUGCUUUUUAUUUCUUUAAAUUUAGAAAAUUUUUGUAGUAAACUUUAUCUGUUUUUUAUUUGUUUUAAGGUUACACUUACCAAUAUACAAUUUUUCUUCACA